CACCACCUCGUGGACAGAGAGCGGACACAGUUCUUGGGGUGGCCUACAGCAUGUACUCUUUUCAAGACCCCCCCCCCAGUGGCUAGACUUGUGGGCCACUGGUGGCUGUGAGGGUGGGAGUGGGGGCGUCUUCCACUCGUGGAGGGGGCUGACUCUGCGACUAGAACUCCGGUGGCAAGGGAGGGGAGACGGAAUCCAGAGGCCUUUUAAUCUACACCCUAAACGCUGAGGUAACUCCAGAAUUUUCCCUUCCAGCCCUCUUUUACUUCAGCUAUGAUCUGCAAAACUCAGCUCUCCCAACAGUGAGGUCUCUGCUGGCUGGUGCUGCCGGGAGCCCAGUGGGCAGGACAGGCUCAGACACAGCUGAAGGGUUUAGGCCCUGUGUCAGUCCUGCUGGUCCUAUGUUCUCUGCGCUCAACUUAGGCUGUGACUGGGAGAGGAUGGCUCCCUGAAGCAUUCCCAGGAGACCCCCUGCUACGUCUGCAGAGUGCUGUCUGACUCCAUACGCUCUUCCUGAGCCCCCAGAAGGAUCACACCCGGCCAACCCUCAUCUGAAGGUCAGAACACAGCCUGCUCUACAACACCUCCCUUGGCCCCCGAGGCACUGCCCUGCACCAUCACAUAAGGAUGUGGGAAAGGCAGCCCAUGCCUGCCAGGAAGUGAGGGCUGCCAGCCUGCAGAGCAGCCUACAAGGUAGGCCCCAGCGGAAGAGAGCAGCAGCACUGGGCCCUGCUGCCGAUGGGCCUGGGUAUCGGCGAGAGCGUGCUCCGGCGAGUUCCGCCUGAAGGGGAGAGCUGGGAGAGCCUUUCUUGGUCAGGAGGCUGGGGGUGUGCCCUCACCCUCUUCCACCUGCUAGGAUGGUAGAAGCUCCGCUUACCCUCAUGCCCUCAAAUCGUGACAAGGCCCUCAGAGGUCGCAGUGCGCGCAGUGUCCUCAGGGACUUGAUGGGGCCCAUCUCGGCAAAGCCUAAGGUGUUGGCCACGAGGCUGACCAGCGAGACCUAUGGAGAAGGGAGUGGUGGGAAGGGGGCACAGCCCCAGAGGCAGGUGGCAGGCUCGCAGCUCACGUCAGGCUGGCCCGCCAGUCUUUCUCUGCCAGCCAGCGAACCAUGAGGCCGUGCUUCCCAGAACCUUGAAGGCCUGUGGCAAGCCAAGACUGUCCUGUCUGUAGGCUCUUCAGAGAGCUCGCUGUAUGUAUGUCUCAACCACUGACCCCAUGACCAGGGACAUGUCUUCCCUACACUGCCGUUUGUGCGGCUGAGCAGAGUUGCAGCUUACAUCUUCCCCUCUGCCCUAGAGUUUGGUGCCUGUACUCCUAAUACCUGGCCCUCCCUGGUUUCUUUUCUCCAUGCUAAUUCGCCCUCAAUACCAAAUUUCCCUUUUUUUGUUUUUGUUUUUGUUUUUUUUUUUAGCCCUGGCUGCCCUGGAACGCACAGCGAUCCUACUGCCUUGGUCUCCCGAGUGCUGGGAUUAUAGGCCGUACUCUCACACCCAGCUAAUGUGCUUGGUAUUUAAAAACACCUUCUGUAUCUACUUA